GGCGGACCCGCCCACACCCGGCUCACCGCCUCCGAGCUUCCAGGCGUGCCGCGAUGCGGAGGCGCCGGGCCUGGAUCCGCUCCUGAGGGUUAUCGGAAUGUAUCGAGGGCCCGAGAAUCGGGGUGGGCAGCUCCGCCCGGACCGCCGCCAGACCGCCGCCCGGUUGCUAGCAACAAGCCGUUGCCAAGAAAAAGCAGUCACCUGACCCGCUGCUGGAGACACUGCUCGCGCAGCUCCUCAGGCCCCGCCCACGAGUAUCCUGAACGCGGCGUCCCAGCUUCGGGCUUCAUUCCUCUCUUCUCCACUAGGGGUGUGAGUACUGUCUUGAGCCCCAUGGAAGACCCAGCCAUAUUAGCGGAAGACUGAAGAGCCGGACUUAGUGUGGUUCAUCACUUAUUGACCCCGAUGGUUAAUUCAUCAUUCAGCCUCAAGCAGUCAACUUCCCUAGGGGACAUGGAAUCAGAGGAGCAAGGUACAGUUUUGACCGCAGACUCUUCAAGGUCCUGGUCUUUGUUUCCACCAUCUGUGAGAAGAGAAACAAAUACGCGUGUGCUAUGCAGCUACGGCUGCGAGUAGGCUACCAGGAGAAUGUCAGCGGGAACCAGCUGUUCAAGAGAGAGGGGAGAGAGCAGGGGCACCAUAAAAACCCCUGAAAAGUGACCAAUGAGGUACUUGGCCCUAACGUGUCCCCAGAUACCUUCAUUCCAGCCGUCUUUUGUGAGUGGUGACAGGAGAUCCUGAAGAGACUGCGGGGGGCAAGAGUAGGGCUGUCGUGGAUGAGAGGACCUCGGAGAGGGACGCAGGUGACGUCCACCUUGGUGAUUCACCAGCAUCCAGUGUCUAGUCCUCAUGUGGCAGGCAAUACUCCAAAAGGAGACCUGCUUUUGAGAAAUGACUGACACUACUAAGCUCACGAAAGACAAACAUACAGAGAAUACACUAAUUUGAAGAAGAAACUACAAGUGACACAGAGUGCCUGUGUGUGUUUAUGACUUGUGACCAGCACAUCUCUGUCACUGAUCUACAAAGAGAAUCAAACUGUAAUUGGGAAGCUUCUUGAUAAUGGACAACUGACUGGAAUGGACUCGGGCCCACGAUGGGGAUAACUUGCCACAGACUAGGUAGGUCAAGUCCUUGGGGUAUGGCACCCAUCCCUGGGUAAGUUUUGGGUGACAAAUGCAAAACCUCUGGCUAUAGGGACUUCCUUUGCUAUGCUACAGGCUGGCCAUCUACUUCAGCUUAUAGUCUGUUUCC